rnacentral:misc_RNA from 1 species
UCUGCGGUCGCGAGUAGCGACGCACGCGCCGGCAGUGGGUAGACGAUCCAUUUUUCAAAAAUCGAAUCUGUCAAUAGUGUUGUGUUGUGGUGUUGUAUUUGAUUGUGUUUUGUUACUCUUUUGGACUGUCCUCUGUACAUCAUCAACUUAAAGUGAAUUGGAUAUAAGCCUCUCUGAAGCUUCACCAUAAGAACAAUGGACGAAGAAACAUCACAAUAAUGACCUGAACACCAACAAAUAUUAAUUCACUGUGAUUUAAUUUAAAUUUAAGUCAAAGAUCUCCCUAAUUUAAGCAUAAAUGAUCACAGUUAUAAAGGAGGGAUAAUUUACCAAAAAUGCCUGCGAUUUUGACAAAGAUUCGAGAGCAGGCGUCGAGGGUUCAGCCCUCGAUAGCUUUGGGGGUGGGAGUGGGGGUGGCGCUAGCUGCCUGCGCUGUCUAUGGUACCAGGGAUAAGAAACAAACUCCGCCGUGCAACAAUAAUAAUAAUUAUAAGGUGACGAAAAACGGCAAGCUUCACUCGCCGGAGAAUGGUGCGGCUACCGGCGACACCUGCGGCGGCCGCUGCGGCGCCGAGCAGUGCGCGCUGUGCCGCGGCGACGCCGACACUGAUAAUAAGCAGAAUAUUGAAGAUGCAGAUGAAACACAAUCAGUGGAGGAAUACGUGCCAGGUUUGAACCUGGAGUUCCUCCGGCAGCUGAUCUCGUUGGCCAGGAUCAUGGUGCCAGGAGUGAGGAGUCACGAGGUGGCGCUACUGUCUGCUCACACGCUGUGCCUGUUCACAAGGACCUUCCUGUCUAUUUAUGUAGCUUCUUUAGAAGGAUCUAUUGUGAAACACAUAGUCCAAAAGGACAUGCGACGCUUCGCAGCGCUCCUACUCCAAUGGUUCGGCAUAGCUGUUCCGGCUACCUUCAUAAAUUCCAUGAUCAGAUACCUGGAGAGCAGACUAGCUCUCGCCUUCAGGACCCGGCUGGUCAACCAUGCUUAUGACUUGUACUUCAAGAACCAGACUUACUAUAGGGUUGCCAAUUUAGAUGCUAGGAUUGAAAAUGCUGAUCAUAGGUUAACAGAAGACGUGUCAGUGUUCACGCAAUCGGUGGCACACCUGUACAGCUCGUUGACGAAGCCGUGCUUCGACCUGCUCCUCAUCGUGCUGACCCUCGCCACCUACUCCAAUAAGAUGAAGGGCAAUAUCUUUAUUGGACCCAGCAUAGCCACAGUAGUGAUCUGCAUGACCGGGCAGCUACUCCGACUACUCAGUCCAAGGUUCGGUGCUUUAGCCGGGGAGGAGGCGCGCAUGAAGGCCAACUUGAGGCACGUGCAUGCACGAUUGAUUGCCCAUGCUGAGGAGGUGGCUUUCUAUGGUGGACAUAAGGUGGAACUAGGCCAGCUCCAAGCAGCCUACAAGGAGCUAGUAGCCCAGAUGACGUCGGUCUUCAACAAGAAGCUCUGGUACGUGAUGCUGGAGCAGUUCUGCAUGAAGUACGUCUGGUCAGGGACGGGGAUGGUCAUGUUGGCACUGCCUAUUCUGACGGCCACGCAUUCUCAGAGAGAUGGAAGCAGUAUAAGUGACCGCGCGGAGUACAUGACGACGUCUAGGAAUCUGCUCAACUCGGCCGCCGACGCUAUCGAACGGCUCAUGUCCAGUUAUAAGGAAAUAGUGACACUAGCAGGCUACGCGACCCGAGUAUCGGACAUGCUGGUGGUGUUCGGCGAAGUGGCGCGAGGCCAGUGCGUGCGCAGCGUGCACGUCACGGCGCCGCACGCCGCCUUCCAGGUCACCUUCCGCGACAACCGACCCGUGCCGCAAGGUAAAAUUAUCUACACGAGCGACCACUCUAUCCGACUGCGCGGAGUGCCCGUGGUGACGCCGGCGUGUGACGUGGUGUGCGGCGGCGUCACGCUCCACAUCCAGCCCGGGACACAUCUGCUGAUAGUGGGGCCUAAUGGAUGCGGGAAGUCUAGUUUAUUCCGCAUAAUCUCCGGCUUAUGGCCGGUGUUCGGCGGCGAGCUGCACGUGCCGCGGCCCUGCGCCUGCGCACACUGCGCAGAUGAUACCAACUUCAACGAUACCGGCUCUUGUACUUCUAGGCCUAUCAUGUUCUAUAUACCGCAGAGGCCAUACAUGUCAAUGGGCUCUCUAAUAGACCAAGUAACCUACCCCUCGCGGGCCAAAGAAGGCGACGUCGCCGCAGAACGUCGUGCCGCACAUAUACUGAAGCUCGUCCGCCUCGACGCCGCCGCCGCCAGGCACGGCGGGCUCUGGGCCGUGCGGGACUGGCGGGCCACGCUGUCCGGCGGGGAGAAGCAGAGGAUGGCCAUGGCCCGGAUGUUCUACCACAGGUCAGUGUAGUGCAGCAUAGUACUGUGGGCCUGCGGGACUGGCGGGCCACGCUGUCCGGCGGGGAGAAGCAGAGGAUGGCCAUGGCCCGGAUGUUCUACCACAGGUCAGUGUAGUGCAGCAUAGUACUGUGGGCCUGCGGGACUGGCGGGCCACGCUGUCCGGCGGGGAGAAGCAGAGGAUGGCCAUGGCCCGGAUGUUCUACCACAGGUCAGUGUAGUGCAGCAUAGUACUGUGGGCCUGCGGGACUGGCGGGCCACGCUGUCCGGCGGGGAGAAGCAGAGGAUGGCCAUGGCCCGGAUGUUCUACCACAGGUCAGUGUAGUGCAGCAUAGUACUGUGGGCCUGCGGGACUGGCGGGCCACGCUGUCCGGCGGGGAGAAGCAGAGGAUGGCCAUGGCCCGGAUGUUCUACCACAGGCCUGUAUACGCGUUACUAGACGAGUGCACUAGCGCCGUCUCCAUGGAGACGGAGGUUGUUAUGUACGAAGAAGCCGUUAAGGAAGGCAUCACGUUGCUCUCCAUCACACACAGGCCUAGUGUCUGGUAAG